rnacentral:lncRNA from 1 species
CUAAGAAUCUGCCUGCCUGAGUGAUGCAGCCAGGCUCCCUUGUUCCCUGGGGCAAGGAACCAGUAGAGGGAUAGGGAAUCACAGUGUUUCCCGGCUGCAAGGGCCCUUGGAGAUGGUUUUACAGAUGAGGAAGCAGAGUCCAGAGAAAGGAAGUGAUCUGCUGGGAACCACUGUACUUUUCACACAAGCAACUUUCCGGGCAUCUGCUAUGUGCUGUCCACAGGAUGGCGAGGGGGCACACUCAUUCUCUCCAGGCCAGGACAGCAGCAUCUGAAUCAACCCUGCAGGUAGGCAUUCCAUUCAAACCCAGCAUUUUCCUCUUCUAGGAACUUAUUCUGAAGACAUAAUGAGGGAUGCGUAUGAGGAUAUGUAUCACAGCAUUACUUCUAUUUGUGAAAAAUCACAGAUCAUAUAAAUAUCCCACAGGAAAGGAUAGAUUACAUCAUUAAAUACAUGCUGAUAGUAAAAUCAAAUUGUAGAUUAAUAUUUAUGGCCAACAUUUUUGACAUAUUAUUACAUUUUAACUGGCAGGCUACAAACAGUAUGACAAUUUUUUGUAAUGAAAAGAAUGGCUAUGUGUACAUAUUUCAUAGGAAAACACUAAGUGUGCAUGCCAGGAGGUGAAGAGGAUUCUUUUCGGGUUGAGGAAUUGUGUGAGUGGGUUUUCCCUUUUUUCUUUUUUCAGAUAUUGCAAGGUUGGUUUGUUUUUACAUCGAGUAUAUAUUAGGUUUGUAAUUUGAAAAAAGAAUUCUUUAUGUAAGGGUUACUCAUGAAUAAUAUUAGCAAAUGCUUGCCUGGUGCUUAUUUUAUGCCAACCUCUGUUCUGAGUGCUUUUCAUGGAUUAAGUGAUUUAACCCUCACGAGAAUUUAGACACGGGAACCAUAGCUCAGGAGGGCUGGGCAGGUUGCCCAGGUCAGCAGAGUUGGUAUGUGGCAGAGCUAGAAUCUGAAGCCAAGCCAUCUGCCAACAGGGUCCAUGCAAUUAACCACUGCACCACAUUAUUACUCCCCAGUGGAAAAAGACAAUCCCCAUGGCCAACAAGGACAUGCGUGGAAAUGCAUGUGUUCCUCUCCUGCUAUUGGUAGCAGAGGUUCCCUUGAUACACCUUGAUCCCAAGUGCUCCAUGAUGGUAGUGCUCAGGUACUAUAUUCAGUGAAUGAAUGCAAGUGACAGGUUCCACUUGUCCCCCAGGAUCUGAAAAGACAGUCCAGCUUUUGCUAGAUUUUGAGCAUGACCAUGAUGGGACUCAAGGAACCUUCCCUCCCUAACUUGGCAGUGGGUGACUUGACUUCCUCACAUGCUCUGGAGGAUGGUUUUCCACUGAGAAACCUGUCCUGUCUUCUACUUUUCUGGGAGGGUAGAGGAUGGCUCAGGGUAUCAUGGCUCUAUCCCCAUCGAAGGGGGCAGAGGGGAUUCACCAGCUGUGGUAGGUCAUUGCUUUGUGGCAUUCAAUGAACUAUGUCUCUUAGAAGUCACACUUUUGUGUGGUCGCUCCUGCAUUGACUCUGGAGUUUGCCAUGUGGCUUUCUUUGGCCAAAAGGAUAUUAACAAGCAUGAUCCAAGCCGUGGCUUUAUGAGUGCUUGCGCACUAGGCUUGUCUUCUUAGAACAGUUCCUCUUGGAACCCAGCCACCCUGCUGCUAAAAGGAAGUCCAGACUAGGCCAGUGGAUAAUGCAGGGACAUGGGAGAGAAGCUCUGGAGGAUAAGAGGCCAUCUUGGACAUUCCAGCUUCAAACAAGCUUCCAGAUGAAAGCAGCUGCUAAAUGAGCCCUGCCAAACCACCCAGCUGAAUCCAGUCAACACAGAUUCAUGAGAAAUCAUAAAUCGUUGUUAUAAGCCACUAAAUUGGUAGUUUGUUCUGCAGCCACAGGUAACUGAAAUACUAGUCUUCUUUUCCUGGACACGCCUGAAAACAGAUCCAUAUAUACUUAUUAAGUACCCACUGUGUGCCCAGCCCUGUUCUAGGCACUAUGGGAUAAUCAUGAAAGGAUUCUAAGAAAUGAGAAUCUGAGGAGACAAGACUGCUACAGGAAGUAAAUCUGAAGAAGAAUUAUGGCUAAACUGCUGCAUAGUAAGGAAAGGCGACUGAUUUCCCCAACCCAGCCCCCAACAUUUCACCUCACAGCAAAGCUGUUGUGGCUGAUAAAUUUGGCAAACAGGGGUGGCAUUGUUGGAUACAUUGAUCUUUUACUUUAUUAUGAUGAUGGUUUUGGGCACCUCGGGCCCCCAGCUUUGUUAAAUGCUGUUCCUAUGGCAGGACAGUAUUCUCCAUGCACUUAAAGGGGAACCAUUUGUGUGACCUUCAGAUCAAAGAAGGUAGAUGAGAUGGAGAAUUGAGUGGCCUACUCAGCCGAUGGACUGUGACACACCAUCAUUACUCUUUAAUGGGUGGGAGGGGGUCUUGCUAGUGCAUCUGCUUGGCUCUGGCUAGGACUGGCCUGCUCACAACUUCAUGAAUAUUCAGUUGCUCCAUGAAGGUCCACUGCCUAGAACAUUGGAGCAACCCGGAGGGUCAUCUGGUCUGAUGUUCUCACUGUUGAAAGGAGGAAACUGAGGCCCAGAGGUGAGAAGGGCUCGCUGGAGGGCACACAAGAUUUAUAGCUCCUCCAUCACUGGCGCUGGUGUUAGCCACAGCUCAGCUGUGGUUUGCAGAUCCUCUGAGACCCCAAAUCCCAUGCUCUUUCUCUUACUGCCCUCCACCCUCCUGCUCGGGGCUUGCUUUGGUGGCCAAGCAACCAGGGAACUGAGAAAGUCCACCCAGUUGCAACAAGGCUAUAUACAUUAACCUCUGCUUCAGACAGUAUACAUGAAACUGCAAAAGUGUGCAGAGACACAGUUCCACUUAAAGCAUUUAAAGGUGUCCUGAGGGGAGUGCUUGGGAAAGCAGGCAGACAGCCCAUCAUUUCACUUUCUCUCUUAGUUUGAUUUUCAGUGUGGGUUUUGCUUCUAAGGGGCCAUACCUCAUACUGCACACUUGAAGGAAUGCCAGUUGUGCUUGAAACCCUACACAUUCCUGAGCAGCCCCUUUUCCCAUCUGGGCCAGUGCAGGUGGAUGGCAGGACCCCUGGCCUCAGGAGCCUUGCUGCUGACACUGGCCCUGAGAAGCCUGUUCAUAGGGCCUUGUGGAACUGGCCACUUCUUUUCUUUGUUUCUUGAUUUUUUUUCACUGAGACCAGAUGAGGAGAGCCAAGACUAUGGGUAAAUUCCACGAAUCAAAGAUACAUCUGGAAUCUGCUGGGGAGCCUGGGAGGCUGUUCAAGCCAAGGCAUCAUCAUUUCUCAAAUUGGGAAAACACAGGCAUGGAGGGGCAAAGGGGUUUUCCCAAGGCCUGGGGCUGGUGGGCUCGAUGCCAGGAGAAGACUCAGGGACGAUGCUUUCGGCUGGAGGACAGGAUGAGUCAGGCCCCCAAGGUGUUUUCCCCACAUGGUUUCAGUUCUUAGGUCAGGGUCUUGGCACCUGAAGGAAAACCUGGUCUAGGCCAUGUGGAAAUCCCGAGCUGCUGCAGCAUCUCACUCCGAUCGGGCAUGUCUGGGAGGCAGCAGGUUGCAAAUAAGUGAUUUACAGCAUGUUCCCUGAUGUUUUACAUUUUCAUCAUUUCAUGUUGCAGUCCUAUCUCCAGUAAUGGUAUCUGCAAAGGAGUGCAGCUCCCAGCCUGCUAUCUGCAGGAGCCCGAGUGGGGAAGCCUGUGUAGUCUCAGGUCUCAGCCUUGACUUUCACGGUGUGACUGUGGUGUCUCAGGACUCUGCGACCCAGGAUCAUCAUUGUGACCAUCUUCCUAGUCUUCACUGCUUCCUUUACACCUCAAUUCUGAGGACCUGCUCUGAGCCGCACACGGUUCUGGGCUCUAGGAAUGGCGGAGGACUUGGGUGCCACGAGAGCACCAGGUAGUAGCUCCAGCUCAGCCUCCCCUAACCCUGACUCAAACAAAACCAUCAGAUGCAUCCCCUACCACUAUCUAUCUGUCUGAGGAUUCUCAGAACCUUUCCACUGGUGGGAAUGUAAAGUGAUGCAGCCCUGCGGAAAGAAGUUUGGCCAUUCCUCAAAAGUAUAUUAUAUAGAAUUACUAUAUGACCCGGCAACUCCCCUCCUAGGCAUAUGCCCAAAAGAAUUGAAAGCAAGGACUCAAACAAAUACUUGGGCGUACAUGCUUAUAGGAGCAUUAUUCACACUAGCCAAAGGUGGGCACAGUUGUCCAUCAGCAGAUGAAUGGCUACACAAGGUGUAGUAUAUACAUACAAAGAAAUACUACUAUUCAGCCAUAAAAAGGAAUGGAAUUCUGAUACAUGCAACAACAUGGAUGAACUUCAGAAACAUGCUAAGUUUCUAAGCCAAGCUAACAUGCUAAGAAGCCAGACACUGAAGGUCACAUAUUGUAUGAUUCUGCUUAUAUGAAACAUCUGGAAAGAGACAGAAAGCACAUCAGUGACUGCCAGGGCCUGGGAUGAGGAGAACUUGGGAGUGAUUGCUUCGUGGGCAUGAGUUUUCCCUUUGGGGUGAAGAAAAUGUUCUGCAACUAAAUAGAGGCAGCAGAUGCAUGACACUGUGAAUGUACUAAGUGCUACUGAAUUGUGUUUAAAAUGGUUAAUUUUAUAUUAUGUGAAUUUCACCUCUAAGAAUUUUUUUUUCUUUUUUUCUUUUUUUUUUUUUGAGACCAAGUCUCACUCUGUCACCCAGACUGGAGUGCAGUGGUGCAAUCUUGGCUCACUGCAACCUCUGCCUCCUGGGUUCAAGUGAUUCUCCUGCCUCAGCCUCCCAAGUAGCUGGGACUACAGGUGCCCGAUACCACACCACACCUGGCUAAUUUUCGUAUUUUUAGUAGAUAUGGGGUUUUGCCAUGUUGGCCAGGCUGGUCUUGAACUCCUGACCUCAUGUGAUCUGCCCACCUCAGCCUCCCAAAGUGCUGGGAUUACAGGUAUGAGCCAACAUGCCUGGCCUAAGAAAAAAUUUUAAUUAAAACUUGCCGCUGCCUACAAAUCUCACAGCACCCUGAUGUCACAUAUAUCAGCCGCAACUCCACCUGCUAACCCAGAGCUCCAGAUUCCUGACAUGAGGUAGUAGGUGAGACUGUUGAGGCAGGAAUUUGAAGAUUGGCCUGCAGUGGGGCCGCGUGCGGGUCAGGGGGUUGGCACGGGGGCCUCUCUUAGCUAGCGAGUGCACUAGAGGCCUCCCAACACAGGCAUCACACCUCGGAUCAAUUUUGUCCUGUCUCCCUAUCCCCAUGCUCACUGUAACACUCAUAAUGUGCUUUGCUGCACCUGGUGGGAGGAGUUAACGAUAUGUAAUAGUGGUAGCUGAGAAUUGUGGGGGCUAACAUGGCUUCAAAACACUCCCUUUGUCACUGAUUGGGAAGUAAUGAGAGGUCUAGAUCUUUAGCUUGGGCUUCCAAACUCAAUGGAUGGGCUCAGUUAACUCCCAGCAUCACUCCCACCCCUCCGGGAGGACACUCCACUACUCUGGCACUCUCUUGAAGACUCAGAUUAUUACUUCCUCCACACCAGAGCACCACUCUUCUGUGAAGACUCUUUGGCCCAGCCUCCAGUUUUCCCUUGCUUGCCUGAACUCCUGAGGUCACUGUCUGGGCCUCUUCCCUGGUGUUUAUUCUAACUGUGUGUGCAUGUAGGUCAGUCAUAUGAAAGUUUGUCAUUUUGGUAGUUAAUAUCAGCCCUACUUUGUAUUUGCUUUAAGAGGAAGUGAAAUACAUUCGUGCAUUUAUUUUGUCUUUUGUACUUGGCUGGGAUUCUGUA